rnacentral:lncRNA from 1 species
CUUUCCAAACAGAGUUCAGUGCUUAAGAAAGCUCAGAGGUGUUAGCACAUCAGACGUGGAGGGGACAUUCUUUACUCACUGCCAUUUAACCAACACAUGAUGAUCUUGGAAUUGCAAAUAGCCGCAGUAGAGCAAAAUUUCUCCAGGAAUUGAGGUUUGCCAGUGUAAGCACUGCAGACAUGCAGCUCUGACCAUCACUGAACAUAAAAGAAUUUAUGAUCUGUCACUUUUAGACAUUAUCAUGGUUUCCACAAGCCAGUUCAAGUUAGCAGAAAACUGAGUCUAUUAAUAAAUGAUUUGGGCAUUUUGGAACACCCUGGAAUCUCAGCGGGGCAGACUGAAGAUGGCCUCACAUUCUUGGACAGGUCUGCCUCUGAGAAGUAGGGUCUAAUCUUCCUUCCUCUGAAUCUGGCUUGACCUUCAUGGCUCUUGGCCGUCAGUAGAACAUGGUGCAAGUGAUGCUGGGUGAUUUUUUUCACCAAAGGCUGCGUAUCUUCUGCUUUUUUAAUUGACCAUCCUGGGCCACGUGCUGAGAGGCCACCUGCAGGUGCUCUGUUUGAUAAUCCUACCAGACACUGGGUACCCAUGUAAAGCUGCCUUUCCCCCCUACUCCGACCAGCCUAUCCACCAAAUGGACACCCUGAGUGACCUUUGUUAGUGUCACAGGAACAGAGGGAUCACCCAAGAAAGCCAUGCUCACAUUCCUGACUCUCAACAUCAUAAGGUAUCUAAAACAGAGAUUUUAGGUUCCUAAAUUUGGGGGUAGUUUGUUACGCAGCAAUUGGUGACUCAGUCACGUAGCUUACAUUUUCCUCUGAACUGGUGAAGUCUGGGUGGGUAAAGAGACAGGGCCAAGGUGGGAGGUUUAAAGCAGUUUGGAGUCAGCCAGGCAGAGGAAAGGAACCUUGGUCCCUCUAUUUGGUGCCUGCAUUUUUUCCCCUUUGAGUCACUGUGGGAUCGGAAGACUGUCAUUCAAGAACAUAAACCACCAGGGUAUACAACAACAGGCUGCAUUAUCAAGCAGACUUCCCAGAACAAGAUGUGCCUUUGUUGUAAUAAUUCCUUGUGAGAAUUUUACAAGGAAAUAAGCUUUUCAUCUCCAUGUAUAAGCUUCAGUUGGUAUCAGGCCAUAUUAUUAAAUCAGGAUUAAAAAUAGCCCUGGCAUUUUUCAAGCAUAACUCAUAUAUGAGAAAAAAUGGAGAGUGCUAUGUUAUUUGUUCAUGUACUUUUUAUGACUUGAUUCCACCUGCUGUGACAAUAGACGCUAACAUCACUAAGCCUCUUGCCAGAAUUGAAAGCCCAAAGCCUCGGGGUUUGGUAACUAAGCUACGUGGGUCAACCAUUUAAUCCAUCUAAUAAUGAAUUAAUUGUUACAGCCAUCGGAAGGAAUACAUGCAAUAUAUAGCUGGGAAUAUGUGAAGGAUUAGGAGGCUUUUGAAAAGUUCAGAUCCAUGUUACAAAAUUUUAAGAGCUAAGAUGUAUUUCUUUGGAUUUAGGUGUGAUAAUGAAUGAAAUUAUUUCUAGAUUCUAAGGACCUGAAGAGGGAGCAGUGUGCUUUAAGGUUGUGUGUGAUCCCCGUGAGACCCGGAGUGAGCAAUUGGUAGCAAGUUGGACCAACAGCGCGCGGAGUGGUCAGAUGUAGCUCUGUGCUGCGGGGCUGGGUGGCUGGCUGCAGCCAUUGAGUAGGCCAACAGGCCAGAGCCCCUGGAGAAAGUGUGCAGCCUUGUAUUUAUUUAAGAAAACAGAAUCCAUUUUUCUUUCUCUAAAAUAGGACUCCCUGCACCUAAAGUAGCAUUUUUUUCUUUGUGGUCUUCGGGGAAGUGUGAUGCAUAUCAUUUGUGUCGUGGGAUUAGCUAGCAGGAAAGCAG